AAGAGACACUGGGUCGGGGGUGGAGUGGUGGCGGGGGGGGUUGGGGGCGGAGGAAGCCAGGCAGGACGGGGGCGGGGCGGUCACGUGUGCCCGACUGGGCGAGGCCCCAAGCUGGCCCCGGAGAGGACUCGGCGGGCGAAGUGGCUGCGCAAGGAGAGAACUUUUCCUGCACAAGGAACGCCUCGUGGGGAGACCCAAGGCAGGAGCGGUCCGGAGCCGGCUGCGGCGUGUGCGGCCGGCCUUGGGACAGCGAUCGCCGCGGGUGGCAACAGAGAGCCCCAAGCAAAAGUGGGAGCAGGAGCUUGGAGGUGAGCACAGGAAGCCCCACUUGAGGCUUUUACGCAGCCUCGAGUCUCUGUUUCUUCUGGAAUAGGCAAGUGUCCUUUCAACUCUAAGAGACCAGCGGAGGGCACUGUCCCUUGACUGCUGGAGUCCUCACCACUUCUCCAGGAUUCCAGAGGAGACUGUGGCGAUGGUGAAUGAAGGUCCCAACCAGGAAGAGAGCGAUGACACCCCUGCGCCGGAGUCCGCACUCCAAGCGGACCCCAGCGUCUCGGUCCAUCCCAGCGUCUCGGUCCAUCCCAGCGUCUCCAUCAACCCCAGCGUCUCCAUCAACCCCAGCGUCUCUGUCCACCCCAGCAGUUCGGCCCACCCCAGUGCCUUAGCCCAACCCAGUGGCUUGGCUCACCCCAGUAGCUCGGGCCCCGAGGACCUCAGCGUGAUCAAGGUGAGCAGGCGCCGUUGGGCCGUGGUCCUGGUGUUUAGCUGCUACUCCAUGUGCAACUCCUUUCAGUGGAUCCAGUACGGCUCCAUCAAUAACAUCUUCAUGCACUUCUACGGUGUCAGUGCCUUUGCCAUUGACUGGCUGUCCAUGUGCUACAUGCUGACUUACAUCCCUCUGCUCCUGCCGGUGGCUUGGCUGCUGGAGAAGUUCGGCCUGCGCACCAUUGCUCUCACUGGCUCGGCUCUCAACUGCCUGGGGGCCUGGGUGAAGCUGGGCAGCCUGAAGCCGCAUCUCUUUCCGGUCACCGUAGUGGGCCAGCUCAUCUGCUCUGUGGCCCAGGUUUUCAUCCUGGGCAUGCCCUCCCGCAUCGCUUCCGUCUGGUUCGGGGCUAAUGAGGUUUCAACAGCCUGCUCCGUGGCUGUCUUUGGCAAUCAGCUUGGAAUUGCGAUUGGGUUCUUGGUCCCUCCUGUUUUGGUACCCAACAUUGAAGACCGGGACGAGCUUGCCUACCACAUCAGCAUCAUGUUCUAUAUAAUAGGAGGUGUGGCCACUCUCCUCCUCAUCCUUGUCAUCAUUGUGUUCAAGGAGAAACCUAAAUAUCCCCCCAGCAGGGCCCAAUCCCUGAGCUAUGCCUUGACCUCUCCUGAUGCCUCAUACUUAGCUUCCAUCGCCCGGCUCUUCAAAAAUCUCAACUUUGUGCUGCUUGUCAUCACCUAUGGUCUGAAUGCUGGUGCUUUUUAUGCCUUGUCCACUCUUCUGAAUCGCAUGGUGAUCUGGCACUACCCGGGGGAAGAAGUGAAUGCUGGAAGAAUUGGCCUGACGAUCGUCAUUGCAGGAAUGCUUGGGGCUGUGAUCUCAGGAAUCUGGCUGGAUAGGUCCAAAACCUACAAAGAGACAACCCUGGUAGUCUAUAUCAUGACACUGGUGGGCAUGGUGGUGUACACGUUUACCUUGAACCUGGGACACCUGUGGGUAGUGUUCAUCACUGCUGGCACAAUGGGCUUCUUUAUGACUGGCUAUCUCCCACUGGGAUUUGAGUUUGCUGUGGAGCUCACGUACCCAGAAUCAGAAGGCAUCUCCUCCGGCCUCCUCAACAUAUCUGCACAGGUAUUUGGGAUCAUCUUUACCAUCUCCCAGGGCCAGAUUAUUGACAACUAUGGAACCAAGCCUGGGAACAUCUUCCUGUGUGUGUUCCUUACUCUUGGAGCAGCCCUCACUGGGACGGCAGUGAUCCUCGGGCUCUCUCAAAUUGGCUGAUGGUGCCCUCAGUCACCAGCUCUCUUGACUAUCUGAACAUUCAUUAAGGCAGAUCUCCGGAGACAGAAAGCAAACAAAGAAACUCUUGAGAACAAACUCCAAGAGGAGGAGGAGAGCAACACCAGCAAAGUGCCCACUGCUGUGUCAGAGGAUCAUCUCUGAGAGGAAGGUGGUGACAACUCAGGGAACACGAACACCCCACCUUUUCCUUCAGCACAGCUCUCACUGCCAGCACAAAGGGCUUCGCUAGAGAUGUUUUUGGAGGGAAUCAGUGGGACUAUUUGUGGCAUGGAUGGCCUAUUCCUCCUAGAACCCACGUAAGAGCUUGGAUGAUUUAGUUGGAGAAAAUUGCACCUAUCACCAAAUGCAAAUUUGAUUCCCACCUCCACCCCCUUUUAGGUUAUGGGAGUUGGUGUUGGGACAGGGUGGCAGAGAAUAUUGGAGUCAAUCCUAGCUUGGUCUCUUGCCUUCCCUCUUUUCUUCCAUCCAUCAUGGACAAUGCCUGCAAAAUUUUCACAGGAAGAAAGCCUAUUCAGGAUAUUAACUUGAAAUUUCCAGUGUCCUAAGAGCCUCUCAUGAAGCCCAGUUCUAAUAAGUGGCAAGCUGCUCUGCCGGGGUCAUCUCCUGGGUCAUCGGACUGAUUGCUCAAGUUCUGCAGGAGAGGAAGCACCAUUAGAACAACUCCAUCGGAACAGCUCCACCGGGACUUGUGGGCCUAAAUUUUCCUGGCCUAAUGGGUCUGUCUCCAAACCCUCUUUCCUAAGAGCUGAGCAAACCAACCAUAAUAAACUUGACAAAAGAC